UACGUAGGGUGCAAGCGUUUGUCCGGAAUUAUUGGGCGUAAAGAGCUCGUAGGCGGUUUGUCGCGUCUGCUGUGAAAACCCGAGGCUCAACCUCGGGCCUGCAGUGGGUACGGGCAGACUAGAGUGCGGUAGGGGAGACUGGAAUUCCUGGUGUAGCGGUGAAAUGCGCAGAUAUCAGGAGGAACACCGGUGGCGAAGGCGGGGUCUCUGGGCCGAUACUGACGCUGGAGGAGCGAAAGCCAUGGGUAGCGAACAGG
rnacentral:rRNA from 1 species